ensembl:snoRNA
CCUGCCCCUAGAGGCGUUGCAUCACGACUGCGAGUGUCGUGCUUGUGUCAGUAGGUGGCAGAGAGAAACGGGCUAUGUCUGCACUCGGUGUUCCAAAUAAGUGGUUACUCAGAAUGAUUAUUGGCCUGACACUA